UCUAAACAAUUCCAUCCUAAAACUACCAGAUUAGACAAAGAAAAGCAAGCCUCUGCACAGGGGUUUGGAGCAAGGUGUUGACCAAAAUUUGGAUGUCAGAACUCAAGCAGGGAGAAGAGGCUAGAGUGCAGUGGUGCGAUCUCGGCUCACUACAACUCCUACCUCCUGAGUUCAAGCGAUUCUCCUGCCUCAGCCUCCCGAGUAGCCAGGACUACAGUGUCGAGGUCAUGAAAGCCACUGAAAGACUGAGAACUGUUCCAGAAAGGAGACUAGAGAGACAUGGCAGCCAAAUGCUCCACAUAAUCCUGUCCUGGAUUCUUCUCCUACAAAGGAAGGGGUCUGAGGAUUAGGUGGUAGUACUGAAUCAAGGAACUAUCAUCUCCUAUUGUGCUGUAGGCAAACUUGAGUGACAUGGUGGAAGCCACCAGAGAGAAUAUCUGAAGCAAUUCAUUAAAAUCUUGGCAGCCAGACCCCAGCUCCCACUUUCCCUGAAAGCUCCCUUUAAUGAAGCUGAACGCUGUCCCAGCAAUUCCCUCCACAGAAGACCUACUGUCACCACCUCUGGAGGGGCAAUUCCUGGAGGAACCAAGUCAGCCAAUCGAAGGUCCUGAAUAAGCAAAAACUAAGUAAAUAAAUUACCAUCUCGAA
rnacentral:lncRNA from 1 species